ACGAACGCUGGCGGCGUGCUUAACACAUGCCAGUCGAACGGGAUUUAGUAAACGGAAGCCUCGGUGGAAGAUUACUAAUGAGAGUGGCGAACGGGUGAGUAACGCGUGAGCAACCUGCCUAUGACAGUGGGAUAGCCUCGGGAAACCGGGAUUAAUACCGCAUAAAAUCGUAGAAACACAUGUUUCAACGGUCAAAGAUUUAUCGGUCAUAGAUGGGCUCGCGUCUGAUUAGCUAGUUGGUGAGAUAACAGCCCACCAAGGCGACGAUCAGUAGCCGGUCUGAGAGGAUGAACGGCCACAUUGGAACUGAGACACGGUCCAAACUCCUACGGGAGGCAGCAGUGGGGAAUAUUGCACAAUGGGGGAAACCCUGAUGCAGCGACGCCGCGUGAACGAAGAAGGUAUUCGUAUCGUAAAGUUCUGUCCUAUGGGAAGAUAAUGACAGUACCAUAGAAGAAAGCUCCGGCUAAAUACGUG
rnacentral:rRNA from 1 species